GAUGAACGCUGGCGGCGUGCCUAAUACAUGCAAGUCGAGCGAACGGACGAGAAGCUUGCUUCUCUGAUGUUAGCGGCGGACGGGUGAGUAACACGUGGAUAACCUACCUAUAAGACUGGGAUAACUUCGGGAAACCGGAGCUAAUACCGGAUGAUAUUUUGAACCGCAUGGUUCAAAAGUGAAAGACGGUCUUGCUGUCACUUAUAGAUGGAUCCGCGCUGCAUUAGCUAGUUGGUAAGGUAACGGCUUACCAAGGCAAUGAUGCAUAGCCGACCUGAGAGGGUGAUCGGCCACACUGGAACUGAGACACGGUCCAGACUCCUACGGGAGGCAGCAGUAGGGAAUCUUCCGCAAUGGGCGAAAGCCUGACGGAGCAACGCCGCGUGAGUGAUGAAGGUCUUCGGAUCGUAAAACUCUGUUAUUAGGGAAGAACAUAUGUGUAAGUAACUGUGCACAUCUUGACGGUACCUAAUCAGAAGGCCACGGCUAACUACGUG
rnacentral:rRNA from 1 species